UACGUAGGGGGCAAGCGUUGUCCGGAAUCAUUGGGCGUAAAGAGCGUGUAGGCGGCCCGGUAAGUCCGCUGUGAAAGUCCAGGGCUCAACCCUGGGAUGCCGGUGGAUACUGUCGGACUAGAGUCCGGAAGAGGCAAGUGGAAUUCCCGGUGUAGCGGUGAAAUGCGCAGAUAUCGGGAGGAACACCAAUGGCGAAGGCAGCUUGCUGGGACGGUACUGACGCUGAGACGCGAAAGCGUGGGGAGCAAACAGG
rnacentral:rRNA from 1 species